GAUGAACGCUGGCGGCGCGCCUAACACAUGCAAGUCGAACGGUUAAAGCACCUUUUGGGUGUGUAUAAAGUGGCGAACGGCUGAGUAACACGUGGGCAACCUGCCCUCCUCUUGGGGAUAGCCUCGGGAAACCGAGGAUAAUACCCGAUACUUCAAUGUGGCCGCAUGACGACAUUGAGAAAGCUUUUGCGGAGAAGGAUGGGCCCGCGGCCUGUUAGCUUGUUGGUGGGGUAGAGGCCUACCAAGGCAAUGAUGGGUAGCUGGGUUGAGAGACCGACCAGCCAGAUUGGGACUGAGACACGGCCCAGACUCCUACGGGAGGCAGCAGUGGGGAAUCUUGCACAAUGGGCGAAAGCCUGAUGCAGCGACGCCGCGUGCGGGACGAAGGCCUUCGGGUUGUAAACCGCUUUCAGCAGGGACGAGGCGAUAAGUGACGGUACCUGCAGAAGAAGCCCCGGCUAACUACGUG
rnacentral:rRNA from 1 species